AUUUGACGAGUCCCAGAUAGGACGAAACGCGUGUCCCGAAU
rnacentral:hammerhead_ribozyme from 1 species